ncrna:unclassified sequences RAGATH-4 RNA
GACAAUUCCCCAUGAUGGUAUGAGUAUUAGGAAUGAUACGCACGCCGUUAGAUACUGCAACGGUCAUUUGGGGCAGUAUGUUCCCCAUAGUCCGAGUGUAGAGCCGGCGUCAUGCUAAAUGGGUUUAUCAUUGA